rnacentral:rRNA from 1 species
CAGUCGCCGCGGUAAUACAGAGGGUGCGAGCGUUAAUCGGAUUUACUGGGCGUAAAGCGUGCGUAGGCGGCUUUUUAAGUCGGAUGUGAAAUCCCUGAGCUUAACUUAGGAAUUGCAUUCGAUACUGGGAAGCUAGAGUAUGGGAGAGGAUGGUAGAAUUCCAGGUGUAUCGGUGAAAUGCGUAGAGAUCUGGAGGAAUACCGAUGGCGAAGGCAGCCAUCUGGCCUAAUACUGACGCUGAGGUACGAAAGCAUGGGGAGCAAACAGGAUUAGAUACCCCGGUAGUCCCUGUCUCUUAUAC